UACGUAGGGGGCAAGCGUUUGUCCGGAUUUAUUGGGCGUAAAGAGCGUGUAGGCGGUCAGGUAGGUCGGUUGUGAAAACUGGAGGCUCAACCUUCAGAGGUCGACCGAAACCCCCUGGCUAGAGUCCGGAGAGGAGAGUGGAAUCCUGGUGUAGCGGUGAAAUGCGCAGAUAUCAGGAAGAACACCCGUGGCGAAAGCGGCUCUCUGGAACGGUACUGACGCUGAGACGCGAAAGCGUGGGGAGCGAACAGG
rnacentral:rRNA from 1 species